AGCAAUCGAAGCAGUGAACUUAAGCCCCAGUAAACGGCGGCCGUAACUAUAACGGUCCUAAGGUAGCGAAAUUCCUUGUCGGGUAAGUUCCGACCCGCACGAAAGGCGUAACGAUUUGGGCACUGUCCCAACAACAGACUCGGUGAAAUUGUAAUUCCGGUGAAGAUGCCGGAUACCUGCGACAGGACGGAAAGACCCCAUGGAGCUUUACUGUAGCUUGACAUUGGGUCUUGGUACUACAUGUACAGGAUAGGU
rnacentral:rRNA from 1 species